UACGAAGGGUACAAGCGUUACUCGGAAUUACUGGGCGUAAAGGGUGCGUAGGUGGUCGUUUAAGUCCGUUGUGAAAUCCCUGGGCUCAACCUGGGAAUGGCAGUGGAUACUGGACGGCUAGAAUGCGGUAGAGGGUAGUGGAAUUCCCGGUGUAGCGGUGAAAUGCGUAGAGAUCGGGAGGAACACCAGAGGCGAAGGCGGCGACCUGGAUAGGGUACUGACACUCAACUACGAAAGCGUGGGGAGCAAACAGG
rnacentral:rRNA from 1 species